AUUGAACGCUGGCGGCAGGCCUAACACAUGCAAGUCGAACGAGUGGCGGACGGGUGAGUAAUGUCUGGGAAACUGCCUGAUGGAGGGGGAUCACUACUGGAAACGGUAGCUAAUACCGCAUACCAUCAGAUGUGCCCAGAUGGGAUUAGCUAGUUGGUGGGGUAACGGCUCACCAAGGCGACGAUCCCUAGCUGGUCUGAGAGGAUGACCGGCCACACGGAAAGUGGGACACGGUCGAAACUCCAACGGGAGGCAGCAGUGGGGAAUAUUGCACAAGGGGCGCAAGCCUGAUGCAGCCAGGCCGCGUGUAUGAAGAAGGCCUUCGGGUGGUAAAGUACUUUCGGCGGGGAGACGUUACCGGCAGAAGAAGCACCGGCGAAUUCCGUGCCAGCAGCCGGGUAAUUC
rnacentral:rRNA from 1 species